ACAAACUUGGUCAUUUAGAGGAAGUAAAAGUCGUAACAAGGUAUCUGUAGGUGAACCUGCAGAUGGAUCAUUUCGAUGAAAAACCUUUUUUCUGAGGUGUGGCUCGCACCUGUCCAACUAAACUUGAGCUACCUUUUUAUACACGGUUGCAUCGGUCGGCCUGUCCAACAGUGCGGGAAUUAUUUUCCGGCGCUGAGCAGACGAGUCGGCACUUUACACAAACACUUUUGAUAAUCUAGGAUUUGAAUGAAAGUUCAUUUUUAUGAUGGAUCCGACUGGUAAUGCGGUCGUCUAAAUCUAAAAAACAACUUUUGGCAACGGAUCUCUUGGUUCUCCCAUCGAUGAAGAACGCAGC
rnacentral:misc_RNA from 1 species